rnacentral:lncRNA from 1 species
GAGAUGUUGAAUCUUCGUGAGUAAAGAAUAAUGUGUCUGGUUACAAUAUUGAUCAGACCCUGUUUGAGUUCUUCACCCCUUAGAAAUUACUUGUUCUAAGGAAACAACCUCUUGCAGAAAUGCAGCGUAAGGCUGCGUGCUAUAGACCCUUAUGGUUCGGCCCUUCCCCGUACCUUGUGCAUAGCGGGAGCUUAAUGCACUGGGCUGCCCUCUUUUUUAAGAAAAGAAAAUUGUUAGCACCUUGGCUUUUGGUCAAAAAUGUUUGAUGAAUAACUCAGGCAGCGCGUAGAGUUUCAUCCUUAACUUACAUAUUCUGGGUGCACCAUCAUAAUUUAUAGAACCAGAUAGUAGCAGUAAAGCCACAAAUAAUCUUUAUUCCUACGCCAGAGUACAUUCCCAGUAUACUAUAGAACAAAGUGAUGACAAAAACUUCGCUUCAAAAAUUCCUACAUUUAUUUGUACAGAACAAUCCAAGACUCAUAUGUGAGCUACUUGAUCAAUUAUGUAUACUAUCCAACUAGCAACACCACUAUUCUAUAACUUAUAAUUUGUAUUGAAUCAUUUUGAUGAGUGCUGAGAAGCAGUUUUUGCUUCUUGUUUGGAUCCUGAAAUGGCAGCAGUUGCUGCAGCAGUCAUAGCAGCAGCAGCUGCACCUAUUUUUAUGCCUCCUGCAGCUUUAACAGCACCGCCGAUUUUAGCAAAUGCAGCAAUUCCUCCAACAAGGAUGGCCCUCACGGCAACUGCUGGUUUUACCUCCAUAUUUAUUUGUCUUCCUAUAUGAAACAGGGCAGACUAUUAAAGCUCAAGGUCGAUAAACAAAACAUUGAUCUUGUUAAAGUAACAAAGAAAGUUAAAAGACAUUCCCAGAAAUAUUUGCACGUAAUAAUAUUGUGCUUAGUUUUUGUAAGAUUAGUAUUUUUUUUUUUCUUUCCCUCUACUACAUGAAGUAUCCAAUUUCAUAUAUGAAAUGACACUUGCCAGAUGCCCUGGGAUGGAAUAACAAUUCAACAUGAACGUGAAUACUUGCAAAAGCUACUCAAGAAUAUCAUUUUCUUGAGAAUAUAAGUAUAUUUUGCUUGACCAUAGAUCAUAAAGAUAGGUAAUAUUGAUUUUUAUGUAAAUAGAGCAGUUGAGAAAUGAUACAAACCUAAGUCUCCAAUAUUGAAGAAUCUUCGAACUCUCAAAGAUUACACCUCCUUUUUUCUUAGGCCAAAAUCUUAGUUAUGUGUAAUGACCAAUUAAUUGUGUAUACUUUGGUCUUUUGGGGAGUUUGGGAAUUGGGGAGACCAUAAAUUGAAUGCAAAACCACUAGUGUAAAACGUCUUACGAACGCCUCGCUCAGCGCCUCUCUUUCCCUUGUGGCUGUGGACACACUAAAUUUUAACCUUUCUUAUACGCAGUGUAGCAUUUCUCUUUAAUGUAAUCAGUAUGAAAAAAUAUUAUAUUAAAAAUAUAUAUAUAUAUUUCUCUCUAGUUGUCUA